GUGGGGAAUAUUGGACAAUGGGCGAAAGCCUGAUCCAGCAAUGCCGCGUGAGUGAUGAAGGCCUUAGGGUUGUAAAGCUCUUUUACCAGGGAUGAUAAUGACAGUACCUGGAGAAUAAGCUCCGGCUAACUCCGUGCCAGCAGCCGCGGUAAUACGGAGGGAGCUAGCGUUGUUCGGAAUUACUGGGCGUAAAGCGUGCGUAGGCGGUUAUUCAAGUCAGAGGUGAAAGCCUGGAGCUCAACUCCAGAACUGCCUUUGAAACUAGAUAACUAGAAUCUUGGAGAGGUGAGUGGAAUUCCGAGUGUAGAGGUGAAAUUCGUAGAUAUUCGGAAGAACACCAGUGGCGAAGGCGACUCACUGGACAAGUAUUGACGCUGAGGUACGAAAGCGUGGGGAGCAAACAGGAUUAGAUACCCUAGUAGUCC
rnacentral:rRNA from 1 species